AUAAAGUGGCGAACGGGCGAGUAAUGCGUUUCUAACGUGCCUCAGGGCUGGGGAUAGCUCGGAGAAAUCCGGGGUAAUACCCAAUAACCCCGCCGGACCGCAUGAUCCGGUGGGCAAAGGCUUGCCACCCUGAGAUCGGGGAACGUGCUAUCAGGUUGUUGGUGAGGUAACGGCUCACCAAGCCUCAGACGGCUAGCGGGUGUGAGAGCAUGACCCGCCGCAUCGGGACUGAGACACUGCCCGGACUCCUACGGGAGGCUGCAGUAACGAAUCUUCCGCAAUGCGCGAAAGCGUGACGGAGCAAUGCCGCGUGCGGGAUGAAGGCCCUCGGGUUGUAAACCGCUGUCAGGGUGCAGGAACACAAUGACCAUACCCAAAGGAAGCACCGGCUAACUCCGUGCCAGCAGCCGCGGUAAUACGGAGGGUGCGAGCGUUGUUCGGAAUCAUUGGGCGUAAAGCGCGUGUAGGCGGCUUGGUAAGUCGGGUGUGAAAGCCCGGGGCCCAACCCCGGAAUUGCACUCGAAACUGCCUCGCUAGAGUCCCGGAGAGGAGAGCGGAAUUCCCGGUGUAGAGGUGAAAUUCGUAGAUAUCGGGAGGAACACCAGCGGCGAAGGCGGCUCUCUGGACGGUGACUGACGCUGAGACGCGAAAGCGUGGGGAGCAAACAGGAUUAGAUACCCUGGUAGUCCACGCCGUAAACGUUGGGUGCUAGGUGUCGCGGGUAUUGACCCCUGCGGUGCCGCAGCUAACGCAUUAAGC
rnacentral:rRNA from 1 species